rnacentral:rRNA from 1 species
ACUCCUACGGGAGGCAGCAGUGGGGAAUAUUGCACAAUGGGGAAACCCUGAUGCAGCCAUGCCGCGUGUGUGAAGAAGGCCUUCGGUUGUAAAGCACUUUCAGUAGGGAGGAAGGUAGUGUAGUUAACACCUGCAUUAUUUGACGUUACCUACAGAAGAAGCACCGGCUAACUCCGUGCCAGCAGCCGCGGUAAUACGGAGGGUGCGAGCGUUAAUCGGAAUUACUGGGCGUAAAGCGCAUGCAGGCGGCCUGUUAAGUCAGAUGUGAAAGCCCGGGGGCUUAACCUCGGAAUUGCAUUUGAAACUGGCAGGCUAGAGUCUUGUAGAGGGGGUAGAAUUUCAGGUGUAGCGGUGAAAUGCGUAGAGAUCUGAAGGAAUACCAGUGGCGAAGGCGGCCCCCUGGACAAAGACUGACGCUCAGAUGCGAAAGCGUGGGGAGCAAACAGGAUUAGAUACCCUGGUAGCACAGAG